GAAGAAAAAGGUGUAAAAAAGGGAGAAAGGGGGGAAAGAAGUGGAAGGAGUAGAAGAAAAGAAAGUUAAAGAGGGAAUUAUUUGGAAUUUAAGUGUGCUGUGUGGGUUGAAAGUAGUGAUGAAGGCAAAUAUUUCGAGGUUUGGGCCAAGGAAGAAUAGGGCUAAAGGUGAAUUCAUCAUGAAGACUUUUAUGGUUGUGUUGUGAAGGUCAAUGCAAAUGUGAAAAUCUGAAGUCACUGUUUGACAUUAUGGCUCAAGGAGAUUCCUUCUACUAAGAAGAUAAUAUGAAAAUUUAUCCAUUUAAUUGUCUAAGUUGUGACAGCAGGCCACCACUAGUCGUAGAAGUUAGAACCGCUUUCCUUUUAAUUUGGCUAUUGCGUGAAGGG